rnacentral:lncRNA from 7 species
AAGAUAAUCAAGCUCCAACCCCCUUGCCAUGGGCUGGCAGCCAAGGGCCCCAUCCAGCCUGACUCUGAGCACCCCCAGGGAUGGAGCACCCACUGCUCUCUGGCCUCACUGCUCUCUGAGUGAAGAAUUUCUUCCUAACUUCCGUUAAACCUUUAAUGCUUUAUUUUGUAACACCAUCCACAGGAGGUAGAGCCCGUGUUGUCACCUACCCAGAAUCAUACCCAGGUACGCACUGUGGGCAACUAAAACCCAUCAGCACAGCAGUUAAUAAGUUCAUGCUUUUUGCCAGGAACCAGCAUGUUGCUGCAAAAUGAUGGCAAUCAGUAACUGCUGGCUGAAUCGUGGAUGUGAGUACAUUAAUGAGUCUAAUGUGCCCUUCAGCCUGAAGUCAUAUUUGGGAGCUCUUUCAGUUGACUAUGUGCACGUAACUACUGGCAUCAAAGUGAACACUAAAAUGUUCUUUGGUUUCAAGAGUUCAUGCAACAGGCUGAAAUCACAUAGAGUAUUUGCAACAUCAGUGCCACGCACAGGGCUGCCAGGAGGCACUGUCAGGGCCCCCACCAGCCCCAUUGCUGACCAUGGCUUUGGGGCAGUACGAGUCUCCAACUCACCUGAGCAAAGCAAAUAGCCCUGGGAUGGUGCAGCACUGUAUGGCAUCUCCCAGAUCUGUGGUAUCUGUCCUGCACUCCUUUGGUGUUCACACCAUUGCAGCACCUUGCAAUGCUGUUGCAUUUUUCCUUCUUCUGAUUGCAGGUACAGUCUCCAAAGCUGAGCAGUGAACUGCAUUGGCAGAGGAUGGGCAAAGCUGGAAUGAAGUGCAUUCCUCGUCUCUUGCUGGUGAAGCCACUGCUGGUGUUGAGCUUUAAUGCCUUUAAGUCUGUACCACAAAAACGUCAGUGAGCCUUUCCUACCAUCUGAUCGUGUGUUGGAGAGCAGCAGUUUGGUGCAUUUUCAGAUUGGGCAUCGUGCUUAACGUCCUUUUGAUUCCAGCCUGUCUUCCAGCGUGUUCAAAACUCACACUUGCUUCUCCCAUUGAGUUGCAUCAAGAUAAAACAAGUGGAAUUUAUCAGAUCUUACCAUCACCAGACAACGCCGUGGAGGCAGCAGACAUUCAGAUGCAGAUCAGAGAGAGCGUUUCAUCUGCAUGCACGUUAUUUGACUGAAGUGAACUGGUUUGAGAACUGGCAUUAAAAUACCAACACUGGCAGUUAAUGCUCCAGCCUUUGAACAGCAGCAGGCAGCUUCAGAGGAAGGGCAGGGCUGGUGGCAGCACCACCACUGCUGUUUGCUCAUACAGCUCUGACUGCUCUCUGUACUCACCAUCCUCCAAGUAAAGACACAGGAGCCAAAUUGGCUCCAAG